rnacentral:lncRNA from 1 species
CAAAGGUGAGCCCCAGACCAGCUGCCCUGAGUCACAAGACCCAGGUCAUCCUCAUCUCAUGAGAUAAUAUCUGGGGAACACAAGACAGGUUUUGCUACCAUCAAGAUGGAUUGAUAGUAUCAGGCUCUCUAACCCUUCCCCAGACUCAGAGAGCUCCUAUGGAACUCUCCUUUCUCUGAAUGGUCUCAGCCCUUCCAAAUUCUACCACAUGACUUAGCAGUCAAUUGUGCUCAUACAACUCCAGUUCAUGUUUCAAGAGUUUGUCUGUUGGUUUGAGUGUUUAGUUUCUCAGCACACAUUUUCUCAUACACACUGUAUUAUAAAUUAUGGUUAAAUCCUCAAAACUUCCCACAAAAGGCUCUUUAAAGUUAAUGUAUUUGAAAUAUGUACUACCGAUAGUACCAUGUUAGCUAUGCUUAGCCAGCAUUUAUAACUCUGUUUAUAUGGGGAAAUGCAUUCCAUUUUGCAACUAGAGCUGGCAGGAUUGCCUGGGAAAGAGGAGAGUUGACAGUGAGAGGGAGGGCUUUGGAUAGUAGGGAUUCCUGGGAUUUCUUAACUCCAUGGAUAUCAGAAGAUGCACCUGAGUUGGACAUCUGUUGCCCAUCAUUCAUUCACUCUUCAUCUGGAAAUGACACUUUGAUUUUACUUUAGGGAACUGCUCCCACUCUGACCCAGUGUAUGUGGUUAGGUGGGGCUUAUCCCACAUACACACACCCAUGACUCAGGCAGUACUGGCCACAGUGAUUGAUUCAGAGAUGGCCAUGCUCUGCCUUCCCAGUUAGAUCAUACACAACAUGAGGACAGGAAGCAUGUACUAAGCUCACUUGUAUCCUCAAGAUAAUCCAGCACAGUGCUCAGCUGUAAUGACAUAGUCAUGUCCAGACAAGGAGGAGAAUGGACAUGUAUUGAGCAACAACCAUGUGUUAGACUUUUUACAUAGCUUUCACACUAAAUACCUUUCUCCUACUCUAUGUGAUGCCAACUGGGGUGGUGUUUUCCAGAGACCGUUAUGUUCUGGGAAUAAAAUCCUACUCAGUUUAUUAAUUUUAAAAGGUUUCACCUUGAGUUUUUAAUAUGGCUAUAAGAAGAAAAAUAUUUAAUUUCCCUUAACUAUCUUAUAGUGGUACUUUGCUCAUUUAUCAAAGAAAUAACAAUAAUGAUGCUUGUCUUGACUCACAGGUCAAAAACUCCCUCUUAAGAGCUUUAGAGUUUAAAAGAGAUAAAUUUGUGAGUGAACUUUGCAAAACACUAAACAAAUAUUAUUAUUGCUAUUAUCAUUUCCAUUAUUUUUAUUUUUAUUAUUAUUUUCUUUUCUUCUCUUAUCCAUUCAAAUGAAUAAGGCAUCCGAAAAACAAAUGAAGACUGAUUGAAACCACAUUCUGCCUAAGCUAUAGACUUUUCCAUAACUUGAGAUAAAUAAAUAGAUUAAGCCACAUCACAAACACACACACACACACCACCUGCAAAAUAAUCUUAAAUAUGAUUAUUUUUAAUAUAAAUAAAGCAAAUGCUAAUUUUCCCUCUAGGGAAGUCAUGGAUUUUCUGUAGCUUGGCAAUAUAUGUCUAUAAUAAAAAUUUAUAUUUAUGUUAUUGGUUAAUAGCUUUGGGUUAACCAAUGAAAUCAUUUACCUCUAUUCUAAACAUUGCUUUUUUGCUAAAAUAAUAUUUCUAUUCUUUUAAACUGUUACCUGAGUAUAGCUUUUGAAAACUCAUUAUGAUUAGCUCAGCCUCGAGUUUUUUUUGGCAGGAGCCUCAGAGGCCAGCUACAAAAAGCUUCAUUUCUCGUAUAGAAGUCUGUUCCUCAUUAUCUCAAAUACAUCUCCACUCAGAAACUACAGCCUGCAGUCUUUCAAACAUCAUUCAGUCUGACACAAGCUUGAAAAGUAAAGCAAGAAAUGAAUAGCAAAAAGCUCCAGGUCCAGCAGUCUAUCACAGGAAUUUUCCAAAGGAGCUGAAAAAUCUGGAUAUGAUCUCUUAUACUGGAAAAGCCUAUUAUAAUGCAGGACUGGGGAGAAGCUCAGCAAAAGGCAAAAAUAAAGAAGGGAAAGUCAGCAAGAAAUAAAUUUCACUGGUCAACUCAGCAGUAACGCUGUCUGCAACAAGUCUUCAGCUCAGUUCUCACUUUUGGGACAAGUACUCGUUCAUCCAUCUGGAGCCAACACACCAAUUAUAAUUCCAGAUCUGCUCUAAUAAACCAAGAGAUCUUGAGCAGAUCACUCUAGCAAGUGCUGAGGAGAGUAUCCGGCACACAGUGGAUACUUGAUAAAUAUUGGCUAAAUUUACAUCUACCUUUUUGUUUCCAGGAUUUCUCAUUUGCAAAGUUGUCUAAUUAAUGGAGUAAAUAACAUUUCCACAUUUGCAAUGCAUACCAUUACAUCAUGCUUCAUGGUUCAAGAAUUAUUUUCAUAUGCAUUCUCUCAUGAACUCUUCACAAUAACUGUUAGUCAGACAUGGAACAGGUGUUAUUAUUCUCAUGUUACACACAAGGUAAGUAUGGCUCAGGCACAUUAACUAGACAAUCACACAGCUAGUAAGUUAUAUAGCUCUUUAAAUCUCAUAGAUUGUUAGAUAUCCUAUAAGAAAAUGUAUCUAAAAUUGCCUGGUACAUAGUAAGUAGCCCAUAAAAAGUAGUUCUAUGGGGAGCCAGUAGAGCACAAUAAUUAAAUCACAGGCUUUGAAUUUUGUAUCCAGACUCCAUCACUUAUUGUGAUGGGUUGAUUUUGUGUGUUACCUCAAUUGGAUCAGAGUGCCUCUCUGCCUGUCUUUGAGCUGGGACAUAGGUGUUCUCCUGUCUUUGGACUCAGACUCGAGCUGGAACUAUACCACUGGCUCUUUUGAGUCAUCAGUUUUCCAGCUGGAGAUCAUGAACUUCUCAGGUCCCUCGUCACAUGAGCCAAUUCUUUAUUUUAUAUACAUGCACAAAAAAGAACCAAUGGAGGAGAUAUCUAUAGAUAUCUCUGUUUUUCUGGAAAACUCAGACUAAUACAGAUUUGGUACCAAAAAGUGGGGUGCCACUGUAACAAAUACCUAAAAAUGUGGAAAUGAUUUUUUAAUUAAGUAACGGGUAGAGGAGGCUGGAAGAGUUUUGAGAUACAAACUAGAAAAAGCCAAGACUGCUAUGAAGGGACUGUUAAAGGCAAUUCUGGUGAUGGCACAAGAAAAAAAAAAGAUGAAAGCUAUAGAGAAAGCUUCCAUCUUGGAGAAUAUAUAAGAAAUCAUGAAUAGAAUGUUAAUAGAAAUAUAGAAGGUAAAGGCCAUUCUUGUGAGGUCUCAGACAGAAAUAAGGAACAAAUUAUUGGACAAUGCAUAAAAGAAUAUCCUUGUAAUAAAGUGGCAGUGAAUUUGGCUGAAUUGUUUUUUAGUGUUUUAUGGAAAGCAAAACUUGCCAAUGAUGAAAUUGGACAUUUAGCUGAGGAGAUUGCUAAGCAAAGUGUUGAAAGAGCAGCUUUCUUCCAACUGCUUAUAGUAAAAUGUGAGAAGAGCAAGAUAAAUUGAAGAUGGAAUUGCAAGCAAAAAGGAACCAGAACUUCUCAGCCUAUCUAUAUUGCAAAAAAUAAGAACGCUUGCUCUGAAAAGAACACUAAGGAUCUGGCCAAGCAACCAUUCAUUAAGGAGAUUAAGCUGGGUGUGAACCAUGAACCUAAUCAGUCACUCCAGCAGAAACACUGCCAGUUUGAACUGAAAGGGACCAAGAUGAGAUGAAAUGAAGGAAGGUUGUUGGAAUUCUUGGAUCCUAAAGGACUGGACCUUUAUGAUCUAUAGAGCAAUUUGGCUGUGAACAUACACUACUCUUCAAGACAAAGGUAGAAUGACCCUGAAGGCAAUCCCAGAGCUCAUCUCUGGAUGUGGCAAUUCAGAUCCACGUCCCAAUGCCUCACUCCUAGAGACCAAUACAGCAACCACUGUCUUUCCACUCUGUCCUGAGAGCCAGUCCCCGUAGCCUCUUCCUUAUCUCCUUGAAUGCAGACCCCUCAUGGAAUCCUAAUGUGGGUUUUCACCCCCUGGAAAUAUGCCCAAGAGCGCUUUACCUCUUCCACCUUUUUAUCAGCAGGGAGACUUUCUAUCACAUAUAAGCAUAGCAUCUCAGCAAUACCUCCCACCUCACCUCUCUUUCUCUCUCUUUUGCUCUCUCUCUCUCUCUGUCUUUCUCUCUCUUGCUCUCUCUCUGCCAUAUGAGGACACAGCAAGAAGGCAGCUGUCUGCAAGGCAGGAAGAGAGCCCUCACAGAACUUGAUCAUGCUGCCUUCAUGUUCUCAGACUUCCAGCCUCCAGAACUGUGAC